GAUGAACGCUGACAGAAUGCUUAACACAUCAGCAAUUGAUUGGUGGCGGACGGGUGAGUAACGCGUAAAGAACUUGCCUCACAUGUAGGGAACACAUUUGGAAACGAAUGCUAAUACCUAAUACUGUGAGAGAGAUUUGCGUCCCAUUAGCUAGUUGGAGAGGUAACGGCUCACCAAGGCGAUGAUGGUUAGCCGGCCUGGGAGGGUGAUCGGCAACCAGGGGACUGAGACACGGCCCUUACUCCUACGGGAGGCAGCAUUAGGGAAUAAUGGACAAUGAACCAAAGUCUUCUCCAACAAUUCUGUGUGCACGAUGAAGUUUUCGGAAUGUAAAGUGCUUUCAGUUGGGAAGCGGUACCAACAGAAGAAGUGACGGCUAAAUACGUGCCAGCAGCCGCGGUAAUAC
rnacentral:rRNA from 1 species